AUACGGAGGGUCCAAGCGUUAUCCGGAUUCAUUGGGUUUAAAGGGUCCGCAGGCGGGGAAAUAAGUCAGUGGUGAAAGCCUACAGCUCAACUGUAGAACUGCCAUUGAUACUGUUUUUCUUGAGUAUAGAUGAAGUGGGCGGAAUAUAUCAUGUAGCGGUGAGAUGCAUAGAUAUGAUAUAGAACACCGAUUGCGAAGGCAGCUCACUAAACUAUUACUGACGCUCAGGGACGAAAGCGUGGGGAGCGAACAGGAUUAGAAACCCUUGUAGUCC
rnacentral:rRNA from 1 species